rnacentral:rRNA from 1 species
UACGUAGGGUGCGAGCGUUGUCCGGAAUUAUUGGGCGUAAAGAGCUUGUAGGUGGCUCGUUGCGUCGGGAGUGAAAACCUGCGGCUUAACCGCAGGCCUGCUUCCGAUACGGGCGAGCUAGAGUUCGGCAGGGGAGACUGGAAUUCCUGGUGUAGCGGUGGAAUGCGCAGAUAUCAGGAGGAACACCGGUGGCGAAGGCGGGUCUCUGGGCCGAUACUGACACUGAGAAGCGAAAGCGUGGGGAACGAACAGG